rnacentral:rRNA from 1 species
UACGGAGGAGGCAAGCGUUAUCCGGAAUUAUUGGGCGUAAAGCGUGCGUAGGCGGCUGUUUAAGUCUGGUGUUAAAGCUAGGGGCUCAACCCCUGUGGUGCAUCGGAUACUGGGCAGCUUGAGUGCGGUAGGGGAAGGUGGAAUUCCGAGUGUAGCGGUGAAAUGCGUAGAUAUUCGGAAGAACACCGGUGGCGAAGGCGACCUUCUGGGCCGCAACUGACGCUGAGGCACGAAAGCCUGGGGAGCGAACGGG